GACGGGGCCCGCACAAGCGGUGGAGCAUGUGGUUAAUUCGACGCAACGCGAAGAACCUUACCAGGGCUUGACAUCCCCUGACCGCGUAUGAAAGUACGUUUUCACCCUCGGGUGACAGGGAGACAGGUGGUGCAUGGUUGUCGUCAGCUCGUGUCGUGAGAUGUUGGGUUAAGUCCCGCAACGAGCGCAACCCCUACGUUUAGUUGCUAACGCGUGAAGGCGAGCACUCUAGACGAACUGCCGUUGACAAAACGGAGGAAGGUGGGAUGACGUCAAAUCAUCAUGCCCCUUAUGCUCUGGGCUACACACGUGCUACAAUGGCCGGUACAGACGGACGCAAAGCCGCGAGGUGGAGCAAAUCCUAAAAAGCCGGUCUCAGUUCGGAUUGCAGGCUGCAAUUCGCCUGCAUGAAGUCGGAAUCGCUAGUAAUCGCAGGUCAGCAUACUGCGGUGAAUACGUUCCCGGGCCUU
rnacentral:rRNA from 1 species